rnacentral:tRNA from 1 species
UUGGGAAUAGCUCAGUUGGUAGAGCACAACCUUGCCAAGGUGGGGGUCGCGAGUUCGAGUCUCGUUUCCCGCU